rnacentral:rRNA from 1 species
AGGGUUCGAUUCUGGCUCAGGAUGAACGCUAGCUACAGGCUUAACACAUGCAAGUCAGGGGCAGCAUGGGAUUAGCUUGCUAAUCUUGAUGGCGACCGGCGCACGGGUGAGUAACGCGUAUCCAACUUCCCCCUGCUCAGGGAUAGCCCGGUGAAAACCGGAUUAAGACCUGAUAGUUUCACUAGAUGGCAUCUGACGGUGAAUAAAGGUUUCGGCAAGGGAUGGGGAUGCGUCUGAUUAGCUUGUUGGCGGGGUAACGGCCCACCAAGGCAACGAUCAGUAGGGGUUCUGAGAGGAAGGUCCCCCACAUUGGAACUGGGACACGGUCCAAACUCCUACGGGAGGCAGCAGUGAGGAAUAUUGGUCAAUGGGCGGAAGCCUGAACCAGCCAAGUAGCGUGCAGGAUGACGGCCCUAUGGGUUGUAAACUGCUUUUGUGCGGGAAUAAAGUCAGGGACGCGUCCCUGUUUGCAUGUACCGCAAGAAUAAGGACCGGCUAAUUCCGUGCCAGCCGCGGC